CGCGGCCUAUCAGCUUGUUGGUGGGGUAACGGCCUACCAAGGCAUCGACGGGUAGCUGGUCUGAGAGGACGAUCAGCCACACUGGGACUGAGACACGGCCCAGACUCCUACGGGAGGCAGCAGUGGGGAAUAUUGCGCAAUGGGCGAAAGCCUGACGCAGCAACGCCGCGUGGGGGAUGACGGCCUUCGGGUUGUAAACCCCUUUCAGCAGGGACGAAAAUGACGGUACCUGCAGAAGAAGCCCCGGCCAACUACGUGCCAGCAGCCGCGGUAACACGUAGGGGGCAAGCGUUGCCCGGAUUUAUUGGGCGUAAAGAGCUCGUAGGCGGUUGCGUAAGUCGGAUGUGAAAACUCAGGGCUCAACCCGGAGACGCCAUCCGAUACUGCGCUGACUAGAGUCCGGUAGAGGAGCAUGGAAUUCCUGGUGUAGCGGUGAAAUGCGCAGAUAUCAGGAGGAACACCAGUGGCGAAGGCGGUGCUCUGGGCCGGCACUGACGCUGAGGAGCGAAAGCGUGGGUAGCGAACAGGAUUAGAUACCCUGGUAGUCCACGCCGUAAACGUUGGGCACUAGGUGUGGGGCCUCCUUAACGGGUUCCGUGCCGUAGCUAACGCAUUAAGUGCCCCGCCUGGGGAGUACGG
rnacentral:rRNA from 1 species